CUGAAUCCCCUGUGUUUCCAGGUUAGUUACUUUCUGCCCUUGUGUUUCCCUCCUUGUUGAUUAACCUCAUUACUUUCACCUGGGUCCUGUGCUCAACACCUGUGUUAAUUACUCUGUGUAUUUAGUUCCUCUGUUUCCCCUGUCUCUUGUCAGGUCAUUGUAUGUCUACCUAGCCGCAUGUGGCUGUGUCCUCGUGUUUCUGUGUUCGAGCUGUUUCUGUGUUUUCUGUGUUUUUGUUCUAAAAGAGUCCCCUUGGAUGGGGACUCGGUUGGUCAUUUUUCCUGGCAACCGUGGUGGCCAAAGGUGGAGAUGUGGGAGACAGGACCCCCCUAGUCGUCUCCGGCCCCUUUCUCGCUCGGAGGUCCUACCGCGGCCCCUUCCUCGCUUGGAGGUCCUUCCGACGCCCCUGCUUUGCUAGGAGGUCCUGCCGACGCCCAUUCCUCGCUCAUAGGUCCUGCCGAUGCCUGUGCCUGCUCCCCAGAGGGCGACCACUGUUCCUGCACUUCCUGUCCUCGUGCUUCUGUGUUCGACCUGUUUGUGUUUCCUGUGUUUUUGUUCUAAAGUAAGUUUUGUUAUUAAAUUCUUUAUUUUUUAAUCUGCA